rnacentral:rRNA from 1 species
AGUGAACGCUGGCGGCAGGCCUAACACAUGCAAGUCGAGCGGCAGCGCUGGGGCAACCCUGGCGGCGAGCGGCGGACGGGUGAGGAAUUCGUCGGAAUCUGCCUUUUUGUGGGGGGUAACGUAGGGAAACUUACGCUAAUACCGCAUACGUCCUCCGCGUGAAAGUGGGGGACCGCAAGUCCUCACGCCGAAAGAUGAGCCGACGACCGAUUAGCUAGUUGGUGGGCUAAAGGCCCACCAAGGCGACGAUCGGUAGCUGGUCUGAGAGGAUGAUCAGCCACACUGGGACUGAGACACGGCCAAGACUCUUACGGGAGGCAGCAGUGGGGAAUAUUGGACAAAGGGCGCAAGCCUGAUCCAGCCAUGCCGCGUGUGUGAAGAAGGCCUUCGGGUUGUAAAGCACGUUUGUCCGGAAAGAAAUCCCUGGAGCUAAUACCUUCGGGGGAUGACGGUACCGGAAGAAUAAGCACCGGCUAACUUCGUG